rnacentral:rRNA from 1 species
AUUGAACGCUGGCGGCAGGCCUAACACAUGCAAGUCGAGCGGAUGAAGGGAGCUUGCUCCUGGAUUCAGCGGCGGACGGGUGAGUAAUGCCUAGGAAUCUGCCUGGUAGUGGGGGAUAACGUCCGGCAGCGGGCGCUAAUACCGCAUACGUCCUGAGGGGGAAAGAGGUGGACCUUCGUAACUCACGCUAUCAGACGAGCCUAGGUCGGAUUAGCUAGUUGGUGGGGUAUAGGCCUACCAAGGCGACCAUCCGUAACUGGUCUGAGAGGAUGAUCAAUCACACUGGAACUGAGACACGGUCCAGACUCCUACGGGAGGCAGCAGUGGGGAAUAUUGGACAAUGGGCGAAAGCCUGAUCCAGCCAUGCCGCGUGUGUGAAGAAGGUCUUCGGAUUGUAAAGCACUUUAAGUUGGGAGGAAGGGCAGUAAGUUAAUACCUUGCUGUUUUGACGUUACCAACAGAAUAAGCACCGGCUAACUUCGUG